rfam:Salmo salar isolate Sally breed double haploid chromosome ssa13, whole genome shotgun sequence.
UUGUAAAAUGGUUGUUCCAAGUCGCUCUGGAUAAGAGCGUCUGCUAAAUGACUUAAA